GGGUUGUGAGGUUAAGCGACCAAGCGUACACGGUGGAUGCCCUGGCAGUCAGAGGCGAUGAAGGACGUGCUAAUCUGCGAAAAGCGCCGGUAAGGUGAUAUGAACCGUUAUAACCGGCGAUGUCCGAAUGGGGAAACCCAGUGUGACUCGUCACACUAUCAUUAACUGAAUCCAUAGGUUAAUGAGGCGAACCGGGGGAACUGAAACAUCUAAGUACCCCGAGGAAAAGAAAUCAACCGAGAUUCCCCCAGUAGCGGCGAGCGAACGGGGAGGAGCCCAGAGCCUGAAUCAGCAUGUGUGUUAGUGGAAGCGUCUGGAAAGGCGCGCGAUACAGGGUGAGAGCCCCGUACACAAAAGCGCAUAUGCUGUGAGCUCGAUGAGUAGGGCGGGACACGUGGUAUCCUGUCUGAAUAUGGGGGGACCAUCCUCCAAGGCUAAAUACUCCUGACUGACCGAUAGUGAACCAGUACCGUGAGGGAAAGGCGAAAAGAACCCCGGCGAGGGGAGUGAAACAGAACCUGAAACCGUGUACGUACAAGCAGUGGGAGCCUCUCUUUAUGGGGGGUGACUGCGUACCUUUUGUAUAAUGGGUCAGCGACUUAUAUUCUGUAGCAAGGUUAACCGCAUAGGGGAGCCGAAGGGAAACCGAGUCUUAAUUGGGCGUUAAGUUGCAGGGUAUAGACCCGAA
rnacentral:rRNA from 1 species